rnacentral:rRNA from 1 species
GAGUUUGAUCAUGGCUCAGGAUGAACGCUGGCGGUAUGCCUAACACAUGCAAGUCGAACGGAAUCUUCGGAUUUAGUGGCGGACGGGUGAGUAACGCGUGAGAAUCUGCCUUCAGGAUGGGGACAACAAUUGGAAACGAUUGCUAAUACCCGAUAUGACGAAAGUUGAAAGAUUUAUCGCCUGGAGAUGAGCUCGCGUCAGAUUAGCUAGAUGGUGUGGUAACGGCGCACCAUGGCGACGAUCUGUAGCUGGUCUGAGAGGAUGAGCAGCCACACUGGGACUGAGACACGGCCCAGACUCCUACGGGAGGCAGCAGUGGGGAAUUUUCCGCAAUGGGCGCAAGCCUGACGGAGCAAUACCGCGUGAGGGAGGAAGGCUCUUGGGUCGUAAACCUCUUUUCUCAGGGAAGAACAAAAUGACGGUACCUGAGGAAUCAGCAUCGGCUAACUCCGUGCCAGCAGCCGCGGUAAUACGGAGGAUGCAAGCGUUAUCCGGAAUGAUUGGGCGUAAAGCGUCCGUAGGUGGUUAUGUAAGUCUGUGGUUAAAGCGUGGGGCUCAACCCCAUAAGGGCCAUGGAAACUACACAACUAGAGUCAAGUAGGGGUAGAGGGAAUUCCCAGUGUAGCGGUGAAAUGCGUAGAGAUUGGGAAGAACACCGGUGGCGAAAGCGCUCUACUGGACUUAAACUGACACUGAGGGACGAAAGCUAGGGGAGCGAAAGGGAUUAGAUACCCCUGUAGUCCUAGCCGUAAACGAUGGAUACUAGGGGUUGCCCGUAUCGAC